GAUGGAAGAACGUAGCGAAAUGCGAUAAGUAAUGUGAAUUGCAGAAUUCAGUGAAUCAUCGAGUCUUUGAACGCACAUUGCGCCCCCUGGUAUUCCGGGGGGCAUGCCUGUCCGAGCGUCAUUGCUGCCCUCAAGCACGGCUUGUGUGUUGGGCCGUCGUCCCCCUCCUAGGGGACGGGCCCGAAAGGCAGCGGCGGCACCGCGUCCGGUCCUCGAGCGUAUGGGGCUUCGUCACCCCCUCCGUAGGCCCGGCCGGCGCUUGCCGACGACCAUCAAUCUCUUUCUCCAGGUUGACCUCGGAUCAGGUAGGGAUACCCGCUGAACUUAAGCAUAUCAAUAAGCGGAGGA
rnacentral:misc_RNA from 1 species